rnacentral:rRNA from 1 species
AUUGAACGCUGGCGGCAGGCCUAACACAUGCAAGUCGAACGGUAACAGGAAGCAGCUUGCUGCUUUGCUGACGAGUGGCGGACGGGUGAGUAAUGUCUGGGAAACUGCCCGAUGGAGGGGGAUAACUACUGGAAACGGUAGCUAAUACCGCAUAACGUCGCAAGACCAAGGAGGGGGACCUUAGGGCCUCUUGCCAUCGGAUGUGCCCAGAUGGGAUUAGCUAGUAGGUGGGGUAACGGCUCACCUAGGCGACGAUCCCUAGCUGGUCUGAGAGGAUGACCAGCCACACUGGAACUGAGACACGGUCCAGACUCCUACGGGAGGCAGCAGUGGGGAAUAUUGCACAAUGGGCGCAAGCCUGAUGCAGCCAUGCCGCGUGUAUGAAGAAGGCCUUCGGGUUGUAAAGUACUUUCAGCGGGGAGGAAGGGAGUAAAGUUAAUACCUUUGCUCAUUGACGUUACCCGCAGAAGAAGCACCGGCUAACUCCGUG